rnacentral:tRNA from 1 species
GGGCCGUUAGCUCAUCGGGCAGAGCACCGGACUUUUAAUCCGGGGGCGGCAGGUUCGAGUCCUGCACGGCCCACCA